UAAAUGUACUAACCUUGCUCUUUUGCCUUC
rnacentral:piRNA from 1 species